GGCACACUCUGAUUUAUUUUAUACAGUUGUUUGUGGAAUGUUGCCAAGUCACAAGACACAUGUUGUUUUUCUGACCUUUCCCUGACUUUCUGGUUUUUCAAGAUGUUUACACAUUAACCAGUCCCCAGGGUCUGCUGUUUGCAGCUGGCUCCUUUGUCCUUCCUGUUUGCAGGGAAGGAGCAUCCUGCUUUGUUUGCAAGAGCAGGACUUAUCGGGAACAUCUCGUUUGCGAGCACCUAGUCCUCUACAUUUCCCCUUUCUUUAUUUACAAGUUUGAAUUUCUUUCAAAACCAUCAUCACAUGUUCAGCUCACUCGGAUUCGGUGUUUGCCCUUUGGCACCGUCUCCAGCAGACUAUGAAAAUGACAAAGGCAAGAACAACAAUCAAUACAUUACUAGAAACAGAAGUCAGUAAAGUUUUUACAGGGCUCAUAGGGUUUAAAGACAUCAAGCUUUGUGCAAUACCAGUCAUCAAAUCUGCUCCAGUCAGCAAUGGUAACUGAUUGCGAAAUGUUUCAGAAAUGUUUUGUGUUAAUUCUUGUAUUUCUAAGGAAAGAUUAUUAUGGCCAAUUAAAAGUCUCUUUGUCUCAGUCCAAUUAUGUACAGUGCUGUUAAAAGGAACAGGAGUAAUACAAAAUUGGGUAGUAUUCCAAUCACAUUUUAACAAAGCUCAAGUAUUCAACACUGUUAGCUGAUCUCCUAACCAAGAAACCACUUGCUCCAGAUUAUCCACUCGUUCAGUCAGAUGAGCAUCUAUGUCUCGUUGCUGCUGCCACAACAAAUGUGAUUGUUCAUGCCAUUGUUGUACAAAUUCUGCAUUUUGUAUACUCUGAUGUAGAGUUAAGCCAGCAACAGCAGCAGUGGAAGCAACUGCUACAAGUCCCACCACCGCUGUUACGACGAUCCCAACUACUCUCCGGCUGCGGUGGACAAGAUCUUGUAUUACUUUAUAAAGUUGAGUGACCCCAGCGGAUUCACUCCAGGAGCGUGUUAAGUUCACAGGCAGCCAGGUUUUUUUCCUGGCUUUCAAAAUAUAUAAAUCCGAAUGAGACUCAUUCCAAUUAUUAUUCCACCAAGUAGUAUUUAUACAACUUAAGAAUGUACAAUUGCCGGUACAGUUAACUACCCCUGUAUUAUUAUCCCAUUUAAAGAUUUCUGUUAAUAACAAAUAAGGUUUCUUUACACAUGCAACACAUAUCUAGAGCUAUUUCGAUGUAAAGAUAUAUGAAAAGGAUUAGAAAUGUUAGUAGUAAUAUUCAAGGACUUGUUUCCUGUGAAAGUGAACAUUGGUUUACCAGCAGCUAGCAACUUCCAAAUAUGACUUUGUAUUUGUGAGGUGUUCGCCAAAUGCGGCAUAGGGGGCGACAAGCCACCAUCAUGACAAAUAAUAGUUUCAUUGCCAUCUGCAGCAAUGCUGUGAUUACCCUUAUGCCAGCGCAGGUUGACAUGGCUGAAUUUAGUUUGAAAAUCUCCAUGCACACUCCAAUCUGUAACAAGGUAUUUACAACUUUUCCCUUUUACUUCUAACAACAAUCACAGCCCACUACCUCUACAUCUAGUCCACUCUAGUUGGGAAACACCUCCGGACACAUCAGGGAUAGGGCAUAAAGAUAAUGUAGUUGGCAAAGUUUCAUUAAGUAAUGCAGUAUGAUUAUACUUAAAACUUUGAGCAACAAUAAUCAUAGUAAAGGCAGCAAUGUGACUAUGGUUAUAGCGAACAGCCCAAGCCUCAUGAGAAGGAUGCAGACAAUGUGGACUACUCCCAAGACAUAUAGGUAACCCUUCAACCCCAAAUUGAUAUGAACUAUUUACUAUGCCAGUGUCUAAUUCAGGAACUUGGUUCAAAAAAGGUGAUGGCAUCCAAGCAGUAUCAUUAGUAAAUACUGGGACCUCUUUGUCUCCCCAUGCCACACCUUGACAUAAGGGUGGAAAAGGAAUAUAAGCCCAAUAGGUAAAUUCUCCAGCUGUUACCUGG
rnacentral:lncRNA from 1 species